rnacentral:lncRNA from 1 species
CCGGUGUCACAUGAUGGACAUGAUAUAAUGAAACAACGUUGUGGAGAGGAAAGCAUUAGGGGAGCCCACGGCUACAAAAACAAGUGAGUGAGAAGAGGUGGGAGGAAGAGAAACUACGCCACCUCCCCUGCAGCCGAGCCGCACGCAGCAGUUCCCCGCGGGAAGUGGGCGACGCCGGCGGGGGGGAAGGGAGACCCGGUCCCCAGCCCCGGCCGGGGGACCCCCGCCGCCCACAGCCAAGAGAACAACUUUUAGCCGGCAGCCUCGGCCAGCACUGCACCUGUCUCCGAAGCCUCCAUCGCUCCUCCUGAUGAUCAAAGGGGAAUUCUAGAAGACUGUGCUCUACAAAUAUACAUGCGCAUCGUUUUCCCCCUUGCGUCUCGCUCCGCAGGAAGGAAAGAGAAACGGAUUAAAGCGGCAGCGGGUGUUCAGCCCCAAGCACCACCAAGCCUUCCUGGAGUGGAACUUUUGCUCAGUUCUUGGCUGGAGGGAUGCAGUACGACUUUCCUUCACUUGUUUUCAGGGACUCUUAACUGUGAGUGAAAUCAACUUACUUUCUGAUUUUUUUUCACUUCUCAUACUGUUUUGACUGUUCUUAUCUGUGCUUUUCCCCCCUCCCUUCCUUUCCCUUCCCCCUAGUGUGGCUUCAAGAUGAGAUCCAAGCAAGGGGUCACCUGUUUUCCCUUUUUCUUAUCUCAGCUUGAAGCACAAUUCUGUUAUUCAUUGGUGGUGUUCACUGAACUUGCAGAGGUGAUUAGUGAAUCUGAUUAAUACAGCUGCUGACAAAUAGAAACACUAAAGUGACAGAUCAUUUUGAAUUCUUUUAUGUUGUGUGUCUGUAUAUGUAUUUAAUCAGCUUUCAAGGUAGUAAAGGAAUUGUCAGUAAGGUGGAACAAAAAAAAGUGAAAAUAUUUUAAGAAUCACUGUAUGUGAAAUAGUUUAAGAUUUCUAUAAGGACUUGAGAUCAGAUGGGCCAAGGAAUUAUGUAGUAGAACACUGACAUAGCCAGAAAUGACAUCUGAGUUUUUUCUCCUACAUAGAGUGAUGAUGAUUAUUUUGAUUUUUUUUCCCUAAGAGGACUAUUUUUUUCUUUAAGAAUAACUUUUGAGUCUUCUAAAGACUUUGAGAAACUAAAUUAGCGUUCUGAAUUAAAGAGUAGACUUUAUCCUGUGGAAAAAGAAAAACAGAACUAUUGCUGAUAAAUACUAGCACAAAAAGAACUGACUGCUCAUGGUAACAUGGUCUCUGAAUAAAUAGGGCAGCAUUAAAAGAUGUAUGCUAGUU